UUUCCGUAGGUGAACCUGCGGAAGGAUCAUUAUCGAAUCAUAGGCAAAGGUUGUCGCUGGCCCCUCCCGUGGGGCAUGUGCACGCCUAGCUCUCAAUCCACUUACACCCGUGAACCCAAUGUGGGAUGCGUCCUUCGGGAUGGAAUCUCAUGUCUUUCAUAUACCCUUAUGUAUGUCGUGGAAUGUCUCAUAGUCGCUUUAACGCGAUCAUAUACAACUUUCAACAACGGAUCUCUUGGCUCUC
rnacentral:misc_RNA from 1 species